UUUGGUCAGAAUUCUAAGAAGCAAUGUUUUUAAGGACCUAAUGAACCCCACUGAUAAAGAAUCAAAUAAAAUAUGUCCAUUAAGUAAAUCAUCCUACUUAAACGGUGACUUUCGGAAACAUCAAUAAGAGAAACAAACCUCACAACUGUGACCUGAAAAAGUGACCAAGGGCCUAAGAAGGAAAAUGAGCAUCAUAAUCUGAGCCAGCCUUUCAGCUCAGAGGAUUGUUGGUUGACAUAUGGGGCUUUCAACCUCUGUCUCACGGACUGGUUCUCUGUAGCAUGCACACUUUCCUUGCACCGAUGGCAUAUCUUUAUAGCUAUAAUUCAAUAGAAGCUUUCAUGGUCAAGGGAAAGCUUCUUCCUUUUUGGCAGCUGCUUCCUUCCACCAGGGCUGCAGCCUCUUACCCCUGACAGUUGCCAGGCAGUCAGUGAGUUAGACCUUAGAAAAGAGCAGCUCCAUCUGUAGACUCCUGAGAUGCUGUCAUGGAGCAAGCUGUAUGUCAAAACUCAAUGCUCAUUUUUCAGAAAAAGAAUGUCAGUAUUGGGUCUAUAGUAGGCCUCUGUUAGCCUUGCCAGUUAACCAUACAUUUGCAAUCAGAAAGUCAGAAAGCAGUUAUGCACUUCUUCCUCAUUGACAAUGAGACAUCUUCCGGGCUUGACAGCCCACUCUCACAGCAUUGCUUAUGGGAUUUCCAUGCAUUAAAAAAUAACUGACCUUGUCAAUUACUUAAGGGGCUUUUUGUUUUGUUUGUAUACACUAUCAAAAUAAAGAAUUACUGCCCUGCAGAUUAGGUGAGCCCUACCAUGUCUGUCUAAUUGGCAAACCUCCUGCAAGAGACAAACAAUAUUCUUCUAUCAAGCUAUUUUUAUAUUGCAAAGAGAAAAAAAAAAAAAAAAACACAAAAAAACAGCUUAUGCUAAUAAUUAGUAUCAAUAAUAAAGAUAGCAAAGGUGAAGUCACCAAUGACAUAUUCUACAGGUACACAAUUUUUUCUUUACAUAGUGUGCAUGAUCAAACAGGUUUAUAUGUGUCUUAUCAUCAAUAGUGUUGAUGAUAAGAGCUAAGAAAAACAAAGAAUUUGUUCAUAACUUUGAAACAAAAAUGCCUGAAAUUAAGCAAAAAAAUUCAGGAACUGAACAUCUUUAAUUGGACCUGAAUGUGUACAGAUGUCUGUACAUUAGCACUUUAAUUAGGAUCUGGAAGUUACUUCUGAAGGAAUUCUCCCAAUUAUCCCUAUUUACCACCCUGUGUUUUGUACCAUGGAGCAGUCCAUAAAUGUGAUAACCAAACUCUUUUCAGAUGAGCCAAGACACAGCUGCCCAAAUACAAACCACACCAUGAAACCUGAUCAUCUUUAAAGAGAGAAAAAAGGAGGCUCAGGGAAGACCUUAUUGUGCUUUACAAUUACCUUACAGGAGGCUAUAGUGAGGUGGGGAUUGGUCUCUUCUCCCAUGCACUAAGUAAUAAGACAAGAGGAGAUGGUCUUAAGUUUUGCCAGGGGAAAUUCAGGUUGGAUAUUAGGGAAAAAAAUAUUCACUGAAAUGGCUGUGAAGUAUUGGAGCAGACUGCCCAGGGAAGCAGGUGAGUCACCAUCCUUGGAGGUCUUCAGAAACCAUAUAGAUGUAGAGCUUGAUGAUAUGGUUUUAUGGUGGACUUGGCAGUGCUAUGCUAAAGGUUGGACCAGAUGGUCUCAGAGGUCCUUUCCAAUCUAAAUAAUUCUAUGGUUCUGUUCUGUGAUUCUAAAGCCUGACAGACAGCUUGAAAUGUCCCUUUUCAGUAUCUCUAUUCUCAUGUCACUCCCUGAGACAUCCAAUUCAAAAUUUGGCCUAAGCUACAUACUUGACUCACACAGAAAUCCAUCCUGAUCUUUGGAUGUGAUCUAAAAUGCUUCAGUGAAGUCCUACAAAGAGUCUCAUUUAUGGAGAAUGCUGUUGGUAGAUGAGUUAAGUAGGUGUGUGUGUACAGGCCUGUGCAUCAAGACUUGUGUUUGGCACUACGUCUAUGCUAGCAAAUUACACAGAGCCAGGAAAUGUCCCUUGGCACUGAAACUCAAUUGCCUACCUUGUUAAAUUGUUGGAACUGUUGCUGGUAUACUUUUACUCAACAAUCCCAAGCCAUUCCUCAUCACAGUUCAGUAAGUAGCACAGGCCAGUAGCCAUUCCCAAUAAGCAGCCACAAUUCCCAAUAAGCAGCCACACUUUCCUGGAGAAAAACAGAGUGAGGUAGUUUGGACGGUUUGGUGUAGCCCUUUCAAUGCCCAUUUGCCUCAGUGCCAGAGGAUGGUCCUAAGCACAUUUGAUUUGUUAGUAUAAAUCUAGUUUAUGUAUCCUGAUUCCCAGACUUUCACCCCAAGCAAAAGGUCAUCUGAGUAUUCAGUUCCAAGCUUGACUACUGAUACACAAAAAAAUCUGAGGAAAAAUAGAAAUCUAAUGCCAGAAAGAGUUAAGCGAUGAGAUUAAGCCUGAUUCUGGAAGUAUCACAGUUUGAAUAUCCAGGACAAACUCAUGACUGGAAGAUCCAUUUUCUGGCCUAGUGACUAUUUCAUCAAUUAAGCUUUAUCUUCUCUAUUUUCAAGUUAUGUUUUUGCACUGUUGCAAAAGGAGAGUGCUGCUGACAUGAGAGUUUUGCCCUGGUGUUAGCAGCUGGUCACCAACAGUACCACUCCAAAACGCUAAUAAAGUGCCAGUGGCUUGAUUCACUUCAGCUGAGAUGAUGGGAGCUUUGCUAUCUUCUGCAAUGGGAGCAGCUGUAGGCUUUGUGCAAGCAACAGUUUUGUCUGUUUGUGCCAGUGGUUUGUGUUUGGGCAGCUGUGUCAGGGAGCGUAACAUGGGAAAACCCCCAGAAUAAUGAAAUCCCAAUUGUGUCAUAUUUACUGUGUUGGACAGACUACAGAGAAAUGUUAGUUCUUCUAUCCUGGUGCACUGGCUCAGAUUUUAAUAUUUGUGUUUCUCACUACUGAUGAUAUCAGUACACUAUCCACAUAUGCAGCAGGUAAGGAAGAAUGAGGAAAAUGAACUGUUAUGGUUUUACUAGUUCAGGCACUGAUGUGGUCCUUUGGAAUCCUUCGGACUUCAGAGGACAUUUCCACUAGGUGGUACUUAAAGCUAUGUUUCCAGUGCUAAAGAAUCUUUGAUUUUUUUUUAUUUUUUUUUUCUCCUCCUUCUUCUUUCUUUGUCUUUCUCAUCAGCUGUUCACAAAUCAUGAAGUACUCUCUCUAAGCUGAAAAAUAUCCAUUUGGGCUGAAGCCUCUUUGUUCUUUUCAUUUCUUCUCCAGUAUUAUGGAUUUUAUCCUUUGCAGGGCUUAUCUGUUGUCCCAGCUCUUCCAUCUCCUAGACAUCUUUCUUUACAUGUCUGUUAUCUGUAGAAGUAUUUGUAACCAUUAAUCUCAGAAACUGGAUUUCUGUUAUGGGGAGAGCAAUCAGAAACAGCAGAUCUCCUGCUUGAAUUAACUUUAUUGCUGACAGAUUUCACUAUUUUCUUUCUCUACCUGCUCCAAGAGCAGUAAGUCCAAGCUCUCGGACUUGCUUGGAAUCAGUCCUGCUUAAAUGCCACUGAUCUAAAUAUAGUAGAUCAAAAUGAAAAUGCUGCAUAAACAGGACAAAGUAAAGCUGGCUUUGCAAGCUGCCAGACAACCUAAAGGAGGCCUGAGAGUUGUUCUUAACAACAACAUUAAUUUUAUCUUACAAUAAUUUAACAAGCUUACAUAAUAUGAAGAGAGGUAUACAAGUAUGUAAAUACCAGAGGAGAUAGAAAAAGCUUGAUGAAAACUUUUUCUGCUAGAGAACAUUGUGAUUCAAAAUGCUUUGCAAAUCAGGUUGAGUUUUCAGGAAUUCUCUUUUGGAAGAAAACCCAGGGGGAAAAUUCUGACCUUAUGACAUUUGCAGAAUCAAGUAUUUUAAUUUUUCAUUUUGCUACAAAGUUUUCUUUCAAUAUUUUCAUUUGGUAUUCAAAGUGUUAUUUUACAGUGUCUGCUGUGGUAAUAAUCCACUUCAAAAUAGGUUGAAAUCUAAUAAACAUUUCAACAAUA